rnacentral:rRNA from 1 species
UACGAAGGGUGCAAACGUUGCUCGGAAUUAUUGGGCGUAAAGCGCACGUAGGCGGCUCUGCAAGUCGGAUGUGAAAUCCCUCGGCUCAACCAAGGAAGUGCAUCCGAAACUGCAAAGCUUGAGUACCAAAGAGGAUCGCGGAAUUCCCGGUGUAGAGGUGAAAUUCGUAGAUAUUCGCAGGAACACCAGUGGCGAAGGCGGCUUACUGGUCCAUUACUGACGCUGAGGUGCGAAAGCGUGGGGAGCAAACAGG